rnacentral:rRNA from 1 species
ACCCAGACUCCUACGGGAGGCAGCAGUGGGGAAUAUUGCACAAUGGGGGAAACCCUGAUGCAGCAACGCCGCGUGAGUGAAGAAGUAUCUCGGUACGUAAAGCUCUAUCAGCAGGGAAGAAAAUGACGGUACCUGACUAAGAAGCCCCGGCUAACUACGUGCCAGCAGCCGCGGUAAUACGUAGGGGGCAAGCGUUAUCCGGAUUUACUGGGUGUAAAGGGAGCGUAGACGGCACUGCAAGUCCGGAGUGAAAGCCCAAGGCUUAACCAUGGGACUGCUCUUGGAACUGCGCGGCUGGAGUGCAGGAGGGGCAGGCGGAAUUCCUGGUGUAGCGGUGAAAUGCGUAGAUAUCAGGAGGAACACCGGUGGCGAAGGCGGCCUGCUGGACUGCGACUGACGUUGAGGCCCGAAAGCGUGGGGAGCAAACAGGAUUAGAUACCCCUGUA